AGCGAACGUUUGCGGCGGGCUUAACACAUGCAAGUCGAACGGGCUGUUCCUUCGGGGGCAGUCAGUGGCGCACGGGUGCGUAACACGUAGGUAAUCAACCCUCUGGUUGGGGAUAACACUUCGAAAGGAGUGCUAAUACCAGAUGUGUCGCAGCUGUCUUCAGGCGGUUGCGAGAAAGGCCCGCAAGGGUCGCCAACGGACGGGUCCGCGUCCCAUCAGCUAGUUGGUGAGGUAAUGGCUCACCAAGGCAAAGACGGGUAGCUGGUCUGAGAGGAUGAUCAGCCACACUGGAACUGAGACACGGUCCAGACUCCUACGGGAGGCAGCAGUGGGGAAUAUUGCGCAAUGGGCGAAAGCCUGACGCAGCCACGCCGCGUGAGCGAUGAAGGUCUUCGGAUCGUAAAGCUCUGUGGGGGGAGAAGAAGAAAGCCGGUGAAGAGCCGGCCCUGACGGUAUCCCCUUAGCAAGCACCGGCUAACUCCGUGCCAG
rnacentral:rRNA from 1 species